UGCUCGGCCCGAGUGCAGUGGUGCUUACAACAAAUUGAUCACCACCAGUUACAGAUUUCCUUGUCCUUCUUCACUCCCCCUGCUACCCUUGACUAGCUUUUA
rnacentral:Y_RNA from 1 species